AGAAUUUUAACAAAAGAAUCUGAAGCUAAUUGCUGAGUGGGGAAACGUGUGGACGCGCCCCAAUGUUGAAACUCUGGGAAAGCUGAUCUGAAAAUGGAAGCACAAGAAUAUGAGGAAGAGUUGGCAAACUAGUCACCUGUCAAGCAGACAAGAGGCACUCAACAGACAAAAGAAACCUUGAGAGCAGCUGUUUUUAAGAUAAGUAGUUUAAGUUGAUGGCAAUAUGUAAGAACAAAGCUAAAUAUGAGUUUUGAGUUCUAAAAUAGAUCAAGCAACACAUAUAUAAUUAAGUUCUACUUGAUUGAUUAAUCUACAAUCCUACAUAUUUAUUCUACAACCAAAUGGGAAAAUCUUAUUUGAAACAAAAUUAGUGGUAGAAAAACAAGAAAAGAAAAUAGGAUUUACCUUUCAAGCAAGAAAGAUACAGAUCAAGAACAGAAUACGCGAUGAUUCGAUUCAAUCAGAAAAAGGAAGCACAGAUCAUGAGAAAGGUUCAAGAAAUUUGGUGAGGGAAAUUAGGAAAUCAAUGGUAUACUGAGAGAUCUCUCUCUUAGUGGAAGACUAGCUAUUGAAAAA
rnacentral:lncRNA from 1 species